rnacentral:lncRNA from 1 species
GUGGCUGUUCUUUAACUUGAUGUGAGAUUGUUUUGGAUGGUAGGUAAAAAUGGGAACUAGGUUCCAAUCAUUCUUGCUCGUGUUCUUGCUUUCAUGUUUAAUCCUCAUAUCCACUGCCUUGUGUGAGCGGAAAGGUGAUGGGACGAUUAGAAUUGGAUUGAAGAAGAGGAAACUAGACCGGAGCAACAGGCUAGCUUCUCAGCUUUUUUUGAAAAACCGAGGGUCUUGGUCUCCCAAAGACUAUUUUCGCCUGAACGAUGCAAAUGCGGAUAUGGUUCCGCUGAAAAAUUAUUUGGAUGCUCAAUACUAUGGUGACAUUACCAUUGGUACUCCACCUCAGAAGUUCACUGUGAUCUUUGAUACUGGUAGCUCCAAUCUCUGGAUACCAUCUACUAAAUGUUACCUAUCGGUACGCAUUGGUGGUUAAUUUUUUCUUGAUGCAUACUAAUUGUGAAAAUGAUAUUGUAAACAAAACAAAAUAUCUCUGUUUAAUGUUUUUCAGGUUGCUUGUUAUUUCCACUCCAAGUACAAGGCUAGCCAGUCAUCGUCAUACAGAAAGAACGGUUUGUUCUCUCUGUUAAUCUUGUCAUUUGAUUCUUGAGCUUCGGUACUUUGAUGUAUCUUGAUAACUAUUCAAGAAAGGGAUACAUUUAGCGCCAGUCUUUUGAUACGUUUGCAGAUAGUUUUUGACGAUAAAAAUCCUUGUCAUUACAGGAAAACCCGCGUCUAUCCGCUAUGGGACAGGUGCUAUUUCUGGUUACUUUAGCAAUGAUGAUGUUAAAGUUGGUGAUAUCGUUGUCAAGGAGCAGGUAAAAACGAUUCAUCCACGUACAUAUCUCAGAAUAUUCUUGUGAGUUUACUCCUUUUCUUGUUUUCAUAUCACCACAGGAAUUCAUAGAGGCUACUACUGAGCCUGGUAUAACCUUCUUGCUGGCAAAGUUUGAUGGUAUCCUCGGUUUGGGUUUCAAAGAGAUUUCUGUCGGAAAUUCAACUCCGGUUUGGUACGAAAACACUUUCUUUUUGUUUUAAUCAUUUGAUCCAUUACCUGAUUAAAGAAUUGAUGUGAAACUUGAAUUCUGAAUGAAGAAUCUAUAUGAUGUGUGUAGGUAUAACAUGGUAGAAAAAGGUUUGGUUAAGGACCCGGUCUUUUCGUUCUGGCUUAACCGUAACCCGCAAGAUCAAGAAGGUGGUGAGAUUGUUUUUGGGGGAGUCGACCCAAAACACUUCAAAGGAGAGCAUACUUAUGUUCCUGUGACACAUAAAGGUUACUGGCAGUUUGACAUGGGUGAUCUCCAAAUUGCUGGCAAACCUACAGGUAAGUAAGGUUUUGAGAUGUUUCAGUUUCAACAUGUUGAGUACUUAAAAUAUAAUUUGACAUCUUAAUUUCUAUGUAAUGUAGGAUAUUGUGCUAAAGGUUGUUCUGCUAUUGCUGAUUCCGGAACUUCUCUGCUCACCGGUCCAUCGGUGAGAAAGAGUUUGCUGAAAAUUUGGUAGAUUGUGCACUACUUAGCACCUGAAACAUGCGGAAUAGUUAUAUUUGCUUUUGCAUUUGCUUGUUUAGACUGUCAUCACGAUGAUCAAUCAUGCGAUAGGAGCACAAGGAAUCGUAAGCCGUGAAUGCAAGGCUGUGGUGGAUCAGUACGGAAAAACCAUGUUGAAUUCUCUUCUAGCUCAGGUUUAAAUCACUGCUCAUGACACAUUCAACUUAUCUAUCUAUAAGCAAUACAAUCUUGAAUUUUACAUCACUUGCUUGCAGGAGGAUCCGAAGAAGGUAUGCUCACAAAUUGGAGUCUGCGCUUAUGAUGGUACACACAGUGUGAGGUCAGUACUGACAUAAUCCAAUCAAAAAAAUAUGUCAGCAUAAAACUUAAAAUUGCUUCAUGUCGCUCUGCAGUAUGGACAUCCAGUCAGUUGUAGAUGACGGAACAUCGGGUCUUUUAAACCAAGCGAUGUGCAGUGCUUGCGAAAUGGCAGCCGUGUGGAUGGAGAGCGAAUUGACUCAGAAUCAAACACAAGAACGCAUACUCGCUUAUGCCGCUGAGGUGAGUUUUGAGAGUGUCUUGAGGCCUUAUUUUGGACAAACAUGUUAAGACUCUAAUCUCUGUAAAAAUCUGUAUAGCUAUGUAACCAUAUACCAACCAAAAAUCAACAAUCAGCAGUGGACUGUGAGAGGGUUUCGUCGAUGCCUAUAGUCUCAUUCUCAAUUGGCGGCAGAACCUUUGAUCUCUCUCCUCA